rnacentral:rRNA from 1 species
GAUCAUGGCUCAGGAUGAACGCUGGCGGCGUGCCUAACACAUGCAAGUCGAACGGAGAUUAACGCUGAUGAGGCUUCGGCGGAAUCUUGUUAAAUCUUAGUGGCGGACGGGUGAGUAACGCGUGGGCAACCUGCCUCGUACUGGGGGAUAACAGUUGGAAACGACUGUUAAUACCGCAUAAGCGCACGGUACCGCAUGGUACAGUGUGAAAAACUCCGGUGGUACGAGAUGGGCCCGCGUCAGAUUAGCCAGUUGGUGGGGUAACGGCCUACCAAAGCAACGAUCUGUAGCCGGACUGAGAGGUCGGACGGCCACAUUGGGACUGAGACACGGCCCAAACUCCUACGGGAGGCAGCAGUGGGGGAUAUUGCACAAUGGGCGAAAGCCUGAUGCAGCGACGCCGCCGUGAGUGAAGAAGUAUUUCGGUAUGUAAAGCUCUAUCAGCAGGGAAGAAAGACCCGCAAGGGAGAUGACGGUACCUGACUAAGAAGCCCCGGCUAACUACGUGCCAGCCGCAGC